UUUUUGUAUUUUUUUUUUGUGCAAGAAAAAA
rnacentral:sRNA from 1 species